AAUGAACGCUGGCGGCAUGCCUAACACAUGCAAGUCGAACGGCAGCACAGUAAGAUUUUGCUCUUACGGGUGGCGGGUGGCGGACGUGUGACGAAUACAUCGGAUUCUUCUUUUUCGGGGGUGAUAACGUAGGGCAAGUUACGCUAAUACCGCAUAUGUCGCACGGGGGAAAGCAGGGGAUCUUCGCACCUUUUGCGAUUGUAUUAGCCGAUGUCGGAUUAGCUAGUUGGCUGGGUAAAGGCCCACCAAGGCGACGAUGCGUAGCUGAUCUGAGAGGAUGAUCAGCCACACUGGAACUGAGACACGGUCCAGACUCCUACGGGAGGCAGCAGUAGGGAAUAUUGGGCAAUGGGCGCAAGCCUGAUCCAGCAAUACCGCGUGAGUGAAGAAGGCCUUCGGGUCGUAAAGCUCUUUUAUUGGGAAAGAACAGCAGCCGGUUAAACCCCGGCUGUUCUGACGGUACCCAAUGAAAAAGCACCGGCUAACUUCGUG
rnacentral:rRNA from 1 species